AGAUAGAAAGUGAAGGCUGGAAUUUUUUCCAGCACCUGAAGAUUAGCUCGGCAUUCCUGACCAGGGUUGAUGCCGGAACAGUGCACCCAUCCUGCACUGAUCCGUAAACAGCUCAGACAGGACCCUGUGACUGCUGUUGCAUGUUCACUCCAGAUAUGGUGCAGGGCAGAAUGAUUCCAUCAGUCAAGAAGGCAACCGCCUGGGCCCACGGCACGACUACAGAGUUUACCGACGUUGCGUCAUCAUGACAACAAAGUUGUAAUAUUGGAUACAACUUUACAAAAAUAAGUCUGAAUGAUUCCUGUGCUUAUUUCACCACCUGGAUUUACCACUGUGGAUUAUUACUGGACUGUUACCUGUUUGUUUACUUACAUCAUGCCAUCAUUGCUGUAUGCCGCCGAGAUGUCCUUCAUCUAUCAUCUCCUGUUCUCAUCUACAUUUCCUGCCUGCUCGUUGAUGGACAUUUUGCUCAAUCACCUGUUUGUGUGUUUACAUCAAUAAACUCAUCAUUUUACCUCUGCUAUUUGGGUCCUCAUCUAAAAAUUCCUGAAAGAACAGUCUGACCAAGAAUGGACACAGUGGAGGAUUCCACGCUCCAGUCUGCCCUCCACCAGCAGCGAGCACUCCUCGGUUGACAGCAGGGCCAGAUCAACAACACCAGCCGUGCCAUGGCGGAGCGGAUAGCCGAACUUACUUCAGCUCUUCGAUAUCUUCAGAUCUCUCCCAGCUCCAAUCCCACCACCGACGGUGCCACUGCUGUUUCCGCAGCGGUUGAUUCUACUACCAGGCCACC